AGUGAACGCUGGCGGUAGGCCUAACACAUGCAAGUCGAACGGCAGCACAGUAAGAGCUUGCUCUUACGGGUGGCGAGUGGCGGACGGGUGAGGAAUACAUCGGAAUCUACUUUUUCGUGGGGGAUAACGUAGGGAAACUUACGCUAAUAUCGCAUACGACCUACGGGUGAAAGCAGGGGAUCUUCGGACCUUGCGCGAUUGAAUGAGCCGAUGUCGGAUUAGCUAGUUGGCGGGGUAAAGGCCCACGAAGGCGGCGAUCCGCAGCGGGUCUGAGAGGAUGAUCGGCGACACUGGAAGUGGGACACGGUCCAGACGCCUACGAGAGGCAGCAGUGGGGAAUAGGAGACAAUAGUGGCGAGCCUGAUCCAGCCAUACCGCGUGGGAGAAGAAGGCCUUCGGGUUGUAAAGCCCUUUUGUUGGGAAAGAAAAGCAGCAGGUUAAUACCCCGCUGUUCUGACGGUACCCAAAGAAUAAGCACCGGCUAACUUCGUG
rnacentral:rRNA from 1 species